GAAUUGCGAUAAGUAAUGUGAAUUGCAGAAUUCAGUGAAUCAUCGAAUCUUUGAACGCACCUUGCACUCUUUGGUAUUCCGAAGAGUAUGUCUGUUUGAGUGUCAUGAAACUCUCAACCCCCCUAUUUUGUAAUGAGAUGGGUGUGGGCUUGGAUUAUGGUUGUUGUCGGCGUAAUUGCCGGCUCAACUGAAAUACACGAGCAACCCCUUUGAAAUAGACGGUUUGACUCGGCGUAAUAAUUAUUUCGCUGAGGACGUCUUCUUCAAAAGUAAGCGGUGCUUCUAAUGCGCUUUUAAAGCAUCUUAAGCUUUAGACCUCAAAUCAGUCAGGACUACCCGCUGAACUUAA
rnacentral:misc_RNA from 1 species